CAGCCGCCACGGUAAAACGGAGGGGGCUAGCGUUGUUCGGAAUUACUGGGCGUAAAGCGCACGUAGGCGGCUUGGUAAGUUAGAGGUGAAAGCCUGGAGCUCAACUCCAGAAUUGCCUUUAAGACUGCCGAGCUAGCAGGUGAGAGAGGUAAGUGGAAUUCCGAGUGUAGAGGUGAAAUUCGUAGAUAUUCGGAAGAACACCAGUGGCGAAGGCGGCUUACUGGCUCAUACUGGACGCUGAGGUGCGAAAGCGUGGGGAGCAAACAGGAUUAGAUACCCCAGUAGUCCCUGUCUCUUAUAA
rnacentral:rRNA from 1 species